GUCUUCCAGCUAAGGUGCAUCUAGUGUAGUCAGUGAAGUAGCUCAGUAUCUACUGCCCUAGUUGCUCCUUCUGGCUGGAGGGCU
rnacentral:pre_miRNA from 1 species